AGGCCCGCGAGGGCAGGACGCGCGCUGGCCCGACGCGCCGCGCCUCCUCUUCGCACCGACGGAACCGACCUUCCCCAACCCUAACCCUGCGGCGAGGGGCCGUGACCUCGGAAGGCCUCCCUGGCGGCCAGUGAGCGAGGAGAGCUUCGCGGAGUGCGUCCCGGGGCGGUUCCCGGGGCCGAGGACGGGUUUCGGGGUGUGGGGCCGUCUUCUCCCCGGGCCUCGCUCGCGUCCCCCGUUCCGACUUCGCCCCCGUCUGCUUCGCGUCUGACACGUUUCCAAGGGGAAGAAAUGUGCCCGUUUUGAGGUCGCCCGUUUCUCAGCGCUGGAUUUCUCCAGACGUCUCGGAAUCGAGACUCUCUGCUGUCUGUGACUUGGGCCACCGUGGGACACGUGCAGAUGUCAGCUGAAGUUCUGGGCAGAUCCUGGCAGGAGCUGGGUGGCCCUCUGUGCUGCUCAGGUGGACAGCUCAGCUGAGAGACUGUUUACAGAUGUGUGGGUAGGAAGAAAGCCAAAGCAGUUCACGGGGCUCCUGCUGACAGGUCUACGGAAAACCCCGAGCUCCUCCGGGCUCCGAGGGACGGGAAGGGAAGGAGCGCUACUGGAAGCAGGCGGAGCCCAGGAGCCAGACCACCCCCCAACCCGGAGGCACGGAGACUACAGAGCAGGGGGCAGCACACUGCUCACAGGGCUCUGCUCCACGCGUGUCCUCCUCUUGCAGUAGCUGUGGCGUCAAGGCAUGAAGCUUUCGGCAGGUACCUUCACUCUCACCCUCUCUACCCCGCGUCCAAGUUCACAACAUCUCAACACAGAGCGAGGACACUGUGCCCACGGUGCUACAGGCUACUCAUUUCCCCUCCUCCUGUGAUGCCUCUGCCACUCUCCAGUCAUUGUCACGCGGAAGCAGGUGCCAUCUCUCUGCCUCUCCUGGGACAUUCCAGCAUGUGAGCUGGUCUGUGCGAGUCCUCAGGACACACCAAAGGCUGUGUUUCUCCCUCUUUCUGGCUGACUCUCCGAGUCCCAGGGACCUCCGAUCUCCUAAGAUGUCACGCAUCUUUGAAAGUGGAUCUGUGACUUCGGUGAAGGCGAGGGGAGCUACAUGAGAUGCCCCCAAGUCAGAACUAAAGGCGUCUCUCAUCUGUAACUGCCUGCUCUGCACUCCAAACUCCCUGCUCACACAGGAGAGGAGAGGAGAGGUAGUAAUUAUUUAUAAUAACUUUAUUAGGUAUAAUUUGCAUCGACCCUCUGAAAGCAUCGCACGCACCUCCGAGAGCUGCGUCGUGAAUGCAAGCACCCGUCCUUGACCCUGCCCGGUCUUCCCCGUGCACAGCAGUAGCCCUUUCUUCCUGGGAAGGACAGGUACAAUUUGUCACCACACAAAUUAUACAUACUUGCUGUUGACAUUCUUUUAUCAGAUAAAUUACUUGUACUUAUUAUGCUGAUGGCGGUUUUCAUGAAAUUUUCACAUUAUGAAAGUCUGAGUUUAGGCUGACACAGAGCAUGCCGGCUGUCUUUUGACCACGGGCACAGAGAUGCUCAUUCUGACAGCACGUGUCUGUGCCUCUUCUCUGGGAUGAAAGCUGACAUUCUUAGCCCCCAGCGAUGCAGCUCGGAGCCUCCACUUGGCCGUCGUCGCAUGUGGUGGUGGCGGGGUGGGGGGGGGGGACCUGAACACAGACGCCCUCUGGAAAGGCAGGAAGCGAUGUCCAAGUGUCACGCCAGCAGGUCUUACUCACGAGAAGCUUUGCAAAACAUGCUGCUGACAUUACGAACCUGCCUGGGAAGGUCCUACUCUUGAUGACAAAGAAACGUAAAAUUCGAUCCCAAAAAGCACUCAUUACUGUUUUUCUUUUAAAAGGGGGAAGGAUUGGGGCACCUGGGUGCCUCAGUGGGUUAAGCCGCUGCCUUCGGCUCGGGUCAUGAUCUCGGGGUCCUGGGAUCGAGUCCCACAUCUGGCUCUCUGCUCAGCAGGGAGCCUGCUUCCCUUCCUUUCUCUCCGCCUGCCUCUCCAUCUACUUGUGAUUUCUCUCUGUCAAUUAAAUAAAAUCUUUAAAAAAAAUAAUAAAAGGGGGAAGGAUAAAACUUUAAAUAUUUUUCAAAGAUUAAUUUAUCUAUUUUAGAGAGAGAGAGAGAGAGAGCUUGAGUGGGGGGGGGGGCAGAGGGAGAGUCUCCAGCAGACUCCCGCUGAGCGUGGAGUCCAGUGCAGGGCUGCAUCCCAUGACCCCGAGAUCAUGACCUGACCCCAAACCACAAGUCCAAUGCUUAACUGGCUGUGCCACCUAAGCACCCCUAAAACAUUUUUUUUGAAAAUUUUAUUUAUUUAUUUGGCAGAGAGAGUUCACAAGCAGGCAGAGAGGCAGGCAGAGAGAGAGAGAGAGAGAAGCAGGCUCCCUGCUGAGCAGAGAGCCCGAUGUGGGACUUGAUCCCAGGACCGCGAGAUCAUGACCUAAGCCGAAGGCAAUGGCUUAACCCACUGAGCCACCCAGGCAUCCCUAAAACAUUUUUUUAAAACGGAAGGUCUUCUUCCCUCACCAGAAUAAUUCGUGCUCGGACAGAAGGGCAAAGAGGAGACAGUGCGGGCUCAGUGCUGGCGCCCCAACCUCGCGGUGUCGCUGGUGUCGGCCACCUGCUGACCGGCCUCCUGAAGCCUGGCCUCCUCACCUGCCUGGUGGGGACAGAGGCGCCUGCCACCAUGCUGUCAAGACAAGUUACUGACAGCCCACGUGUUAAGCGUUUAGAUUAGUGCCUGCUACAAAGACAGCAAUUUUAGGGUGGGGCUAUCAUCUUUUUAUGAUUAUCAAAAAACAAAAAAGUCUCCCCUCACCCAAAAACGGCCACUGGGAAAUGGGGCACUGGCCUCAUGUGCAGGUAUUAGGACCAAGGGGCGCCUGCUUUGGCUCACUCAACCGCAGGGCGGGACCUGUGUGAAAGCGCAAAGAACAUGCUAUGUUCUCCCUCCCAGAGACGAAAUUCUGGGUGGGCGAUGGCACCCCCUGGACCGGUCCCCCGGAGGGACCCCGGUGCUCUGCGCUCUGCAGGAUGACAGAGACACACGAAUGAAACAGAGGACAGUAGGACGGCCCCCACCAUUAGGAUCUGUUUAAUUCACUUGUUUAUUUGGUGCCUUAAGCUGGAUUCAACAGACUUCGCAAUGUUUUCAGUGAGAUGGUAUAAAUAAUUUCUUUUUUAAAAAACUUUUUCAAAUUGGA